rnacentral:lncRNA from 1 species
GAAUGGCAGUGAGAAGGAAGAAAAGGGGAUACAACAGAAAGAGGACCCAGAACUGACAGCAGAUGUCCAGAUGGAUAACUCAGGUGGGGCAGGAUGAAGAAAAUGAAUGCAGUUUGGGACAUCCUGAGUUUGAGGUGAGCCUUGAGCAAAAGGUAAUUUCACUGCCCAACUCUGCAAAGAGCACCAGGGAGUCGAGGUUGCCAGCCACACUCACCGCUGGUAGGGAUGCAUGGAAGCCGACUUGAUGUUGGUUUUUAUUCCACUUGGCAUUUUCCCUGAAAGGAACAUUAAAAAAGUCAUCUUAAGCAAGAUCUUCAUCUCGGUCUGGAGACAACACCAGAGGAAUGAUGACCUGGUUACGGAACAGCGGUGUUUUUUCAUGCUUCAAGACCUUGUUCAGAGUGUUCAGCUGUCCAGAAAGCAAGGCAAAGUUGUCCAGGACAGAUGGCCUGGUGGUGGUAACAAGGUACACCCUACACUCCCUCACUGAGACAUUUUCGACAGACCUAAUGCCGGGAGAUCAUUCUCUCAUGUGCACCUCUGUAGCACAUGCACUCCAGCUUCCUCCAUCGUAGCAUCUGUGAGCCUGGCUGUCUUGUCAGUCUCUGGGAAAUCUGCCUACUCAUGAAGACUUCUCUGAAUACCAGUCCUGCUCUCCCCUUUCCUUCCCCCCACCAACGACUCCAGCUUUCCAUCUGCUCUCAUCAUUUUGUUUCAACCUUCUCCUUGCUGAAUUAAUAUGCACUCAUCUAUCUCUGUGUCAAUAUUCCCGUGCCUCUUUCACAAGCUCAGUCAACCCAUUAACAUUUAUUGAGACUACCAGCUGCAAGAAACUAAGUGACAAAUGAAAAACAAAAACCACACAUGCUUCUAAGCACUGGACAAACAAAUUAAAAUGCUGGGGGUCUGCAAAGCAUUUCCUUCCCAUCGGUGGUCUCCUG